AUAAAGGACAUGGUAAUGCAAAGCAGAAAGCAAGUAAAUUACUGAAGAAAGGAAGGAAAGAUGGUGAUAAGCUGCCCAGGGUUUUGCGUUCUUCCAGUAAAAAGCAGGAUGAAUCUACGUUGCCUCAGCAGGACUCUCGCUACAAUAUGAAAGAACUGAAAGCUUCAUUGGAGGUGAUUAAGAAAAUAAUGAAGAUGGAUGAGGCUCAACCAUUUAAUGUUCCCGCCGAUCCUGUUGCUUCGAGAAAACCUGAUUACUUUAGUGUGAUAGAUACCCCAAUGGAUUUUGGUACAAUAUGUUGUAAUUUAGAAAAUAGCACAAAGUACAUGAAUGCAGAAGACGUU